rnacentral:lncRNA from 1 species
GGAUGAAAGCAGAAUCCAGAAUAUAUUGUAUGAAACAAAUCUAUUUUUGAUAAUAGAACAACAAAAACAAAAAUCCAAAACAAAAAAUAAUGAUUCUCCCUCUCCCUGCAGAUCUCAGCUAUCAGUAGCUUUUCUUUAAGGGGCAGGCCCUGAGGAGCAUCCUUCCCGGAGUCUGCACAGUAUUGGGAAGCUUCCUGCCCGGACUUCCCUGGAUGGUACCUUCCCUGCAAGCUCCAAAAAGAAGUAAAUCCUUUCUUCCACAAGAUAGAGCUUUGGUCAUGGUGAUUUAUCACAGGAGUGCAGACCCUAGAUUCCAGACAGAGAUCAUUCCAGAAAACAACAAGCCUUCGAACUGCAGAGUUGCCGAGCCCAGGCACAAUGGAGAUCUCCAACACAGCUGCAUCUAAGGCUCAGGGAAUAUUUUGGAAGAGGGGUCAGAAGCAGUCUAAGAACUAGAGGAUCAAGGAAUGAGAUGCAAUGCUGUGUCUCCUAAGACUGCCAGAAGCAACCUGCAAAGUCUCAGCAACACGACUGCCCAAACAUGAGCUGGACAAGGAAGAGUAGACAUGCCAGAUAUGGGCAGAGGGAAAGCCCAUAGGGCCUCAACCUUAUCUCCAAAGAACAAGGGCAAACUAAGGAGGGCUGAGAGCUAGAGAGAUAGGCUUCCCCAGGAAGGAGCACAACAGUUGUUUAUCUCCUACCAGAGGCUAGUCCUGGAAACACGCAUCCAGGUCACACCAUGAAGCUUGAGCUGAUUAUAUGUAGAAAUCUAUAUGCAUGUACAUGAAUACAUUGGUAGAGGAAAUAACAAUUGAUGAAGAACGGGGUUAUUUGAAAGAGAGCAAGGAAGGGUAUAUGUGAGUCUUUGGGGUAGAAGAGGA